CCUACGGGCGGCUGCAGUGAGGAAUAUUGGUCAAUGGGCGCGAGCCUGAACCAGCCAAGUCGCGUGAGGGAAGAAGGCCCUACGGGUUGUAAACCUCUUUUGCCGGGGAGCAACGGGCGCCACGUGUGGCGCCACUGAGAGUACCCGGAGAAAAAGCAUCGGCUAACUCCGUGCCAGCAGCCGCGGUGAUACGGUGGAUGCGAGAGGUAUCCGGAUGUAUUGGGUGUAAAGGGUGCGUAGGCGGAGCGUUAAGUCAGUGGUCAAAUUGAGGGGCUCAACCCCUUCCCGCCAUUGAAACUGGCGCUCUUGAGUGGAAGAGAAGUAUGCGGAAUGCGUGGUGUAGCGGUGAAAUGCAUAGAUAUCACGCAGAACCCCGAUUGCGAAGGCAGCAUGCCGGCUUCCGACUGACGCUGAAGCACGAAAGCGUGGGGAUCGAACAGGAUUAGAUACCCGGGUAGUC
rnacentral:rRNA from 1 species